GUGCCCGUAGCUCAACUGGAUAGAGCGCUGCCCUCCGAAGGCAGAGGUUACAGGUUCAACUCCUGUCGGGCAUGCCA
rnacentral:tRNA from 1 species